GGAGUAUUCUGGUGGUGGUUGUGACGUCACUCCGGAGCCUCGUCAGCUGAUUGAGGAGUGAGGGAGUGAAGAUAAGGGAGAUAGAGAGUGAUUGAAUAGGAUAAGGAGGAGGGAGGAGAUAAGGGUGAAUGCAAGGAUUAGGGAGUGAGGGAGUGAAGAUAAGGGAGAUCGAGUGAUUGGAAAGGAUAAUGAGGAAGGAAGGGAGAGAUUAGGGUGAAUGCAAGGAUUAGGGAUAUGAUUGGAGGGAGUGAUUGGAUAGAAGAGUGAGGAAGGAAGGGAGAGAUUAGUGAAUGCAAGGAUUAGGGAUAUGAUUGGAGGGAGUGAUUGGAUAGAAGAGUGAGGAAGGAAGGGAGAGAUUAGUGAAUGCAAGGAUUAGGGAUAUGAUUGGAGGGAGUGAUUGGAUAGAAGAGUGAGGAAGGAAGGGAGAGAUCAAGGUGAAUGCAAGGAUUAGGGAUAUGAUUGGAGGGAGUGAUUGGAUAGAAGAGUGAGGAAGGAAGGGAGAGAUCAAGGUGAAUGCAAGGAUUAGGGAUAUGAUUGGAGGGAGUGAUUGGAUAGAAGAGUGAGGAAGGAAGGGAGAGAUUAGUGAAUGCAAGGAUUAGGGAUAUGAUUGGAGGGAGUGAUUGGAUAUAUAGAAGAGGAGUGAGGAAGGAAGGAAAAGAUUAGGGAUAUGAUUGGAGGGAGUGAUUGGAUAUAUAGAAAAGAGGAGUGAGGAAGGACGGAAGGGAUAAGGGUGAAUGAAAAGAUUAGGGAGUGAAGAUGAGAGAGGGAGUGAGCAUAAGAGAGAAGGGAGUGAUUGGGUAUAAGAAGGAGAGUGAGAGAGGAGUAAAGAGAUAGGGGUGACUUAAAAGGAUAUGGGAGUGAAUUGGGAGUAGGGAAAGGGAGUGAGUAGUUUGUUAAAGGGAUAUAAGGGAGUAAAUAAGGGAGGGUUUGACUAGAAGGGGAGUGAGGAAGAAAGGGAGUUAUGGGAGUGAAUGUGAUGGUGUAGAAAGACGAGAAGAAGAGGGGAGGGAGGAGUGUUUGGAUGGAGGGUGGAGUGAGGAAGAGAGGGAGGGAGUAAAUACAAAGGGAAAGUAAAUGAGGAAGGGAGAGAAGGGAGUAAAUGAUAUGAGUAAAGAAGGGAGAGGAGUGGAUACAAUAAGAGGAGGGAUAUGAGGGAGUAAAGAGAGAGGGAAAGUGGAGGACGGGAGGAAUGGGCGGUUUAUGAAUGGAAGGGAGGGAAAAAAAGGGAGAGGAAGUCAGGAAAGGGAGUGAAUGGGAAAUUGGAGGAAGUAAUGAGGGGAGUGACUGGAAGAGGGGAAAGGAGGGAGGGAAAAGUGGAGGCAUAGCGACAAAGGGAGGAAGGGAGGGAGAGAGAGAAAGGGAGGAAGGGAGGGACAUUUAAAGGGAGAGAACGGAGGGAGGGAGACAAAAGGAAAAAAAGUAUGAGGGAAAGAAUGAUGCGUAGGAGAGAGAGAGAGAGAGAGAGAGAGAGAGAGAGAGAGAGAGAGAGAGAGAGAGAGAGAGAGAAAUCAUUGUGUGAAUGGGUGAGUGACUGUGUGUGUGUGGUAGAAUUGAGGACAAGAGUGAAGGGGAGGGAGAACAGGGCACCACCACCACCACCACCAUCAUCAUCAUCAUCAUCAUCAUCACCAUCACCACCAUCAUCACCACCACCACCAUCAUCACCACCACCACCACCAUCAUCACCACCAUCAUCAUCAUCAUCAUCAUCAUCAUCAUCAUCAUCAUCAUCAUCAUCAUCAUCAUCACCACCACCACCACCACCACCAUCAUCAUCAUCAUCAUCAUCAUCAUCAUCAUCAUCAUCACCACCACCAGCUGAAUGAGGAGUGAAUGAAAGAAUGAAUGAAAGUUUACUCAUGGUCACUCCUCCUCCUCCUCCUCUUCUUCCUCCUCCUCCUCCUCCUCCUCCUCCUCCUCCUCCUCCUCCUCCUUGUGAUUUAUGUUUUCUUUUUUUUUUCGUCCAUAAUGUCAACUUUCAUCUUCCCAAAUCUGAUCGUAAAGAGAGAGAGAGAGAGAGAGAGAGAGAGAGAGAGAGAGAGAGAGAGAGAGAGAGAGAGAGAGAGAGAGAGAGAAACGAGUUUGAAAUUGUUUAUUGUCUCGACUUUUCCUUUAUUUUUUUUUCUUAAUGUCUGGUUCAUUAUUGUUGUUGUUGUUGUUAUUAGUGGUAGUAGUAGUAAUAGUAGUAGUCGUGGUAGUAGUGGCAGUUUUAGGAUUACAACUACUACUACUACUACUACUACUACUACUACUACUACUACUACUACUACUACUACUACUACUACUACUACUACUACCACCACCACCACCACCAAUAUUAUACGCAGAAGAAUAUCACAAACAAACAAAUAAAAAUAAAUAAAAGUAAAACGAAAAAAGAAAAGACUAAAAAGAUAAGAGAAAGAAAAUAAGAAGGGAGAGAAAAAAAGACAAAGAAAAACAAGAAAAAAAAUAACGAAAAGGAGGAAAACAAGAGAAAGACGAGAAAGAGAGAGAGAGAGAAAGGAAACAAGAAAAAAAAAAGAUAAUAUAGAAGAAGCUUAACUUUAAUCCAUAUAAAUGUCUUCUAGUCCACACGAAGGCUUAGCAACGUGACUAUAAGAACAAACCAGCAAAUAAUAAUAAUAAUAAUAAUAAUAAUAAUAAUAAUAAUAAUAAUAACGAAGCCUCACCUAACAAACGCCACCAGUAAUGAAGGACACGUGUUUGCUAAUGAGUGUUUAAAGUCAUGGCGAGCUGAUGAAUGCGUGUCAAGAGUUCAAGGGAAGAAGAAGAAGAAGAAGAAGAAGAAGAAGAAGAAGAAGAAGAAGAAGAAGAAUACGUUUAGAAAAGAGAAUCAGAAACAAGUGUACAAGUGAAUGAAGGACUUGUUAGUAGAUAGGCAGGUAGGAAAGUUAGGUAGAUAGAUAAGCAGGUAGAUAGGGAGGAAGAAGAAGAAGAAGAAGAAGAAUACGUUUAGAAAAGAGAAUCAUAAAUAAGUGUACAGGUGAAUGAAGGACUUGUUAGUAGAUAGGCAGGUAGGAAAGUUAGGUAGAUAGAUAAGCAGGUAGAUAGGAAGAAAGAAGAAGAAGAAGAAUACAUAUAGAAAAGAGAAUCAUAUAAUCAAGGACUUGUUAAUAGAUAGAUAGUUAAGUAGGAAAGUUAGGUAGAUAGAUAGAUCGGUGCUAGGUAGAUAGUUAAGCAGGUAGAUAGGGAGGAAGAAGAAGAAGAAGACCCCCAAAAAAGUAAAUACAUGGCAAGCAAAUAGAUAAAAUAUAUAAAUGGAGUAAAUAAAUGUGAUGAAAAGACACAAAAAUAAAAAGAGAAGGAAAAGUCGUGGACGAAAAGAGGAAGAAGGAUCGUAGACAAAAAAAAGACCCAGUAUUAUUAAAUGGAAUGAAAGAAGGAUGGGAAGGAGGAAAAGAA